rnacentral:rRNA from 1 species
GAAUUCAACUCCUACGGGAGGCAGCAGUGGGGAAUAUUGCACAAUGGGCGCAAGCCUGAUGCAGCCAUGCCGCGUGUAUGAAGAAGGCCUUCGGGUUGUAAAGUACUUUCAGCGGGGAGGAAGGGAGUAAAGUUAAUACCUUUGCUCAUUGACGUUACCCGCAGAAGAAGCACCGGCUAACUCCGUGCCAGCAGCCGCGGUAAUACGGAGGGUGCAAGCGUUAAUCGGAAUUACUGGGCGUAAAGCGCACGCAGGCGGUUUGUUAAGUCAGAUGUGAAAUCCCCGGGCUCAACCUGGGAACUGCAUCUGAUACUGGCAAGCUUGAGUCUCGUAGAGGGGGGUAGAAUUCCAGGUGUAGCGGUGAAAUGCGUAGAGAUCUGGAGGAAUACCGGUGGCGAAGGCGGCCCCCUGGACGAAGACUGACGCUCAGGUGCGAAAGCGUGGGGAGCAAACAGGAUUAGAAACCCUAGUAGUCCAGGCGUU